rnacentral:rRNA from 1 species
AUGGCUGACGGGCUGGACGCGCGGAACUUCCGAGGCGGCCGGAUCCAGGCGAGCGGCGGCGGGACUAACAAGGCAUCGGGGUUCUCCCGGGCGGCACCACGGUUGCUCCGGCGUGCUCCUGAAAGAAAAGGAGGGAGGACGAGAGAGAGGGAGAGAGAAAACCGGGAGGAGGGAGAGAAACGAGGGGGAGGCACGGCAGGAGGCUGUGCUGUUGGUUUCUCCGAUGAAGAGGAGAUAGGGCGCGGACGUUCGCGGGAGUGGGCGGCGUUUGGCAAAGGAGGCGCUGGUCGGGGAGCGCAUGGUGCGGGACUCCCAGGGCGAGAUGGACGAGGACAAGGAUGGUCUGCUGCUGCUAAUCUCAUGUGGAGGACACGCAGGGGCGGACGGCGAGUGAGGGGAGGAUUUAUCUGGGACCUGAAUUUGACAGGUAAAAGCUGGUUUGUUUGCUGCUGGCUGGCUUAG